GCAAGUCGAACGAGACUUCGGUCUAGUGGCGGACGGGUGAGUAACGCGUAGGAACCUGCCAAGCAGUGGGGAAUAACAGUUGGAAACGGCUGCUAAUACCGCAUACGCCCUUCGGGGGAAAGAUUUAUCGCUGUUUGAGGGUCCUGCGUUCGAUUAGCUAGUUGGUGAGGUAAUGGCUCACCAAGGCGACGAUCCCUAGCUGGUCUGAGAGGAUGAUC
rnacentral:rRNA from 1 species